rnacentral:rRNA from 1 species
AAUACCGCAUAAUCUCUGAGGAGAAAAGCAGGGGAUCUUAGGACCUUGUGCUUUUGGAGCGGCCGAUGCCUGAUUAGCUAGUUGGUGGGGUAAAGGCCUACCAAGGCUUCGAUCAGUAGUUGGUCUGAGAGGACGACCAGCCACACUGGGACUGAGACACGGCCAGACUCCUACGGAGGCAACAAUGGGAAUUUUGGACAAUGGGGGCAACCUGAUCCAGCCAUGCCGCGUGAGUGAAGAAGGCCUUCGGGUUGUAAAGCUCUUUCAGUUGGGAAGAAAAGGUUACGGUUAAUACCUGUAACUCAUGACGGUACCGACAGAAGAAGCACCGGCUAACUACGUGCCAGCAGCCGCGGUAAUACGUAGGGUGCGAGCGUUAAUCGGAAUUACUGGGCGUAAAGGGUGCGCAGGCGGUCUUAUAAGUCAGAUGUGAAUCCCCGGGCUUAACCUGGGAACUGCGUUUGAAACUGUAAGACUAGAGUGUAGCAGAGGGGGGUGGAAUUCCACGUGUAGCAGUGAAAUGCGUAGAGAUGUGGAAGAACACCGAUGGCGAAGGCAGCCCCCUGGGUUAACACUGACGCUCAGGCACGAAAGCGUGGGGAGCAAACAGGAUUAGAUACCCUGGUAGUCCACGCCCUAAACGAUGUCAACUAGUUGUCGGGUCCUUAUAGAUUUGGUAACGUAGUAGCGCGUGAAGUUGACCGCCUGGGGAGUACGGUCGCAAGAUUAAAACUCAAAGGAAUUGACGGGGACCCGCACAAGCGGUGGAUUAUGUGGAUUAAUUCGAUGCAACGCGAAAAACCUUACCUACCCUUGACAUGCCAAGAACUUUCCAGAGAUGGAUUGGUGCUUCGGGAACUUGGACACAGGUGCUACAUGGCUGUCGUCAGCUCGUGUCGUGAAAUGUUGGGUUAAGUCCCGCAACGAGCGCAACCCUUGUCAUUAAUUGCCAUCAUUUAGUUGGGCACUUUAAUGAGACUGCCGGUGACAAACCGGAGGAAGGUGGGGAUGACGUCAAGUCCUCAUGGCCCUUAUGGGUAGGGCUUCACACGUAAUACAAUGGCGCGUACAGAGGGUUGCCAACCCGCGAGGGGGAGCUAAUCUCAG